AGAUGCCGGUGUCAUGCUUAUUCAGUUUGCAGAACUGCUCAUAGGUGGAAGGGACUUGCCUUGGCUCACAUGAGACAUUUGAGUUAAUGCUGGAAUGAGUUGAGACUUUGCGGGACUGUUUGAAAAGGCACGAUUGUAUUUUGAAAUGUGACAAGGAUAUGAGAUGUGGGGGACAAGGGUUUGGAUAUUUGUCCCCACACAAAUCUCAUGUUGAAAUAUAAUCCCCAGUGUUGGAAGCGGGGCCUGAUGGGGGGUGUUUUGGUCAUGAAAACAGAUCCCUGAUGGCUUGGUGUUGUCCUUGCAAUAGAAAGUUCAUGCAAGUUCUGUUUGUUUAAGUGUGUGGCACCCCCCUACCCUCUCUCUUGCUCCUGCUCCCGCAAUGUGAGAUGUCUGCUCCUGCUUCAUACUCCACAAUAAGUACAAGCUCCCUGAGGCUUCCCCAGAAGCCAAGCGGAUGUUGUGCUAUACUUGUACAGCCUACCGAACCAGGAACAAAUUAAACUCUUUUCUUUCUUUUUUUGGGGGGGGAUGGAGGGCACGUGUGGGUUGAGGCAGAAUCUCACUCUGUCGCCCAGGCCGGAGCGCAAUGGCAUGAUCUCGGCUCACUUCAACCUUUACCUCCUGGUUCAAGUGAUUCUCUUGCCUCAGCCUCCCGAGUAGCUGGGACUACAGACGCACACCACCACACUCGGCUUAUUUUUGUAUUUUUUUAGUAGAGACAUGGUUGUGUCAUGUUGGCCAGGCUGAUCUUGAACUCUUGACUUCUGCUGUUCCGCCCGUCUCGGCCUCCCAAAGUGCUGCGAUUACAGGUGUUACAGGUGUGAGCCACUGCACCCAGCCAACUCUUUUCUUUAUAAAUUACCCAGUCUGAGGUAUUCCUUAUGGCAAUGCAAGAAUGGCCUAAUACAGAAGGGCAGGAAGAGUGGUAAUGAGGUGGGGAAGUGACACAGGGAAGAUGCAUUAAAUGGAGUGUUAUGAAGCCAAGCACCACUGGGGAUAUCUGGAACUUAAUGUUGUGAGGAAAUUCUGAGACUCGUCUAAAACAGAUGUCUCUGAAUGAUUUAAUUCAAGGAGCAGGAAGCCUAGGGUAUUUAUACAUCAGCUUCCUAGAGUUACCAUUUGAGGACAGCUCCCAGGGUAUGUUAGCUUCCUGGCAUUUCUGCCUGUGGUACUCAUGGGGGAAAAAAAAGCAGCUUUCAUGACAGUCACAGAAACACAGAGAAAAACAGCUGAAAGUCUAGGAGACACUUUGCUACCUCCAAGGGAAAUGCCGAGGCCCUGAUCACUUCUGUAAUCAUUCACAGACACAUUUAUGUAUAUGUCAAAAGCCAAGUGUCUGUGUUCGAACAUUCAUUUAUAUGUAAAUGAUAAAUAUAUUUACAUCUGUAUAUUGACAAAGCAUGACAACAAAUAUCUCAUGUAAGUGAUUUUUUGGGGCAAUAGAACAAAUUUGUUUCUGAUAAAAUAUGGUAUAGAAUGUUAUGCAUUAUUAAAAUGUUAACAUAAAAAAGUACUGGGAUUGACUUUGAAAAAAAUGACAGCUAAAGUGAACACAGUUUCCUUUUGUCUCAAAGGAAAUGAUGCUCUGUGGAAUUUCAAUACACAACUAUUCAAUUUUAGAAAUUUUAUCACAAAAGGCAAAAUCUUUUUGGAGAAUAUGUGCACAUUUCAUCUGUGACUUCUGAAUAUUACUAAUGAGCAACAAAUGGUGUUUUUAAAGUUGUUCUUUGAAGGAGAAAGGAGUCAAAUGUAUGAUUUUACAAAAUUGCAAUUUAUUAUUCUAAGUUUUAUGGAAAACUAGCAGUGGUAUAAUUCAUGAAAGAAAGGAAGAAAAAAAUUCCUAUAUUCUCUACAAGCUGUUUUUCUAUUUUUUUAAGAGAAAAUAGAGAAAUAUUAAUCUUUUCGUUAUAGAGUUGUAAAAGGUAUUCCUUAGGAGGAAUAAUUCAUACAAAGAAAAUGCAUCGUUUACUCUCUGACUCAUAUACAUUUUCCAAAAGUACAUUUUUUCCUCAAAAUAAGAAUCAGUGUCUUGUCAAAUCAUUUGAUUCCCUACCUUCUCAAGAUAUAUACUUAUAUAUGUUUAUAAAUAAAUCUCUUCCAGUAUGCACAAUUUUAGAAAUUAUAUUUAGAAAUUCUAACAUUGAUAACUUUUGAUAGCAAUUACUCGAUUGAACAUUGACCAGUAUUGAGAAUACUGUUAUAUUUUAAAGCUCUAUAAGGAAGUGAAAAUGUGUACAUAUUCCCCUAAAAAUAGAAAUUCAUAUAAGUUGUGACUUUUAAAAUAAAAUGCAAUGUAUAAAUUGAAACUCUUCUAUUUAAA
rnacentral:lncRNA from 10 species